rnacentral:rRNA from 1 species
AGUGAACGCUGGCGGUAGGCCUAACACAUGCAAGUCGAACGGCAGCACAGGAGAGCUUGCUCUCUGGGUGGCGAGUGGCGGACGGGUGAGGAAUACAUCGGAAUCUACUCUGUCGUGGAGGAUAACGUAGGGAAACUUACGCUAAUACCGCAUACGACCUACGGGUGAAAGCAGGGGAUCUUCGGACCUUGCGCGAUUGAAUGAGCCGAUGUCGGAUUAGCUAGUUGGCGGGGUAAAGGCCCACCAAGGCGACGAUCCGUAGCUGGUCUGGGAGGAUGAGCAGCCACACUGGAACUGAGACACGGUCCGGACUCCUACGGGAGGCAGCAGUGGGGAAUAUUGGACAAUGGGCGCAAGCCUGAUCCAGCCAUACCGCGUGGGUGAAGAAGGCCUUCGGGUUGUAAAGCCCUUUUGUUGGGAAAGAAAUCCAGCUGGCUAAUACCCGGUUGGGAUGACGGUACCCAAAGAAUAAGCACCGGCUAACUUCGUGCCAGCCGCCGCCGUAA